CUAACGUAUGAAAAGGCCUCCGGAGGGGUAUCUCUGGCAAAGAUAUUAUAAAGUAUGGAUAUCUGGCCCCUCCGUACCAGUGUGUGCAUGCUCAUUUCCUCAAAAGGUGUGAGUUGCUUUGUGGCUGCCCCCCUAAUGUCCGGGAUGGUCAAAAAGCUCCGUAACUGGAGAUAACGGAAAUUAUCAAAAGAGUUGAGGGGGGUAGGUUGCGGUAGGUCUGCAAAUGGG